rnacentral:lncRNA from 1 species
AUGUUUUAUCUUUCUCUUUUAUAAAAGCUUAGCCCUGGAAAAGGCUGAGCAAAUUGUUUUAAGAUUUUGCCUCUGAAGGGCUCAACUAAAAAGUCUUGAUCAGUUAGUUUUAGUUUUAAAAAAAGAAUUGUAAAUUGAAGAAUUUUCCAACUUGUAGUCUUUUCAACUUCACCUUAAUGUGGAUCUUGAAAUGGCUAAUCCCUCCAACUUAAGCUACUCUUAUUAACUUGUAGAUGUUAUAGAAAUAUUUGUGAAAUCAUGGGCAUGAGGAUGUCCCAAGUUUUUGUUACUGCUAACUAUUAACUAGUCUUAGGAUUUUAGAGCAUAGACUAGGAUCAAUCACAUUUUGAAAAUCUUUUUUUUUAAAUUUUCAUUUUGAUAAUCACACACUAUGUGUCUAACAAGCCAGCAAUGUCUCUUGAGGAUAAGAGGAAUUGUCUGAAUUUACUGUUGAUGUUUGUUUGUUUUUAAUGUUGUAAAAAUUGUAAGUGGGGGCUAGAAUAGGGUAAUUUUAGCCCCUUUUACUUAAAAUUGUAGGGGGGGAUAGUGGAUAGUAUUCUGUUUAGCUUUAUCAUAUUCCAUUAACUUUUUUCAGGAACUCCAUUAAAUGGAUAUGGAGUUCCAAUGCAUCAGAAGUUAGUUACCCUAGGGAGAUAUUUUGGGGUCUCUUGGGUACUUCUUCAACUAGACUCAUCAACCAUGGUUAGGACUCAGGUCAUCUUCAAUUCUCUGUCACUCUCUCUUUCUCUCUCCUUCUCUGUAAUUUGAGCUGAAAUUUGAUACUCUUUAUAUGUAUAAGCCUAUGUUUGGAUUAUAACUAGGAAGAAGAUUCAUUCUCCAUCAUGGGAUGCUUGAGAAUGGAUGCUACUUAAGCAACUUACUAUUUUUAUUUCAACUACGUCAAAAACAACUUUGUUUAAUUUUGUUAAUGCAUUGUUUAUGAUAGACUAAUGUUUUCUGUCGUUCUUGGAAUUUCCCCUACCUGAGCACCUUAUUUAGUUUUUUUUCUUUAGUUUAUUUUUCCAAUUUACUUGUGGGGGUUGAAUUAUACAUUUAAAUUAUACUACUUAUUUUUUGGUUGGUUCAAGAAGACCGAGGCUCAUUUUAUUUUUAGUAAGACAUUUGAAUUUAAAUAUACAUUUGAAUAUGUGGAUGUGUAUCAAAAUUAAGAUGUUUGAAUUUGA